CGGAGGUUUGAUUACAUGACUCGUUUUGCUCGUCUACUAGUUCUACUACUUCUCGCAGAUACUGUGCGCGGUAGACUGGUGGGCGCUGCUUAAGGUUAAUCAAGCCCCAUAAGAAACUAAACCCGCGCCAAUGCGCGGGUUUUUUU
rfam:Mangrovibacter sp. MFB070 Contig-019, whole genome shotgun sequence.